AUAAUAAGAGCAGCAUGUAUACUAAAAUUGGAAGGAUACAGAGAAGAUUAGCAUGGCCCCUGCCCAAGAGUGACAUGCAAAUUUGUGAAGCGUUCCAUAUUUUU
ensembl:snRNA U6 U6 spliceosomal RNA